GACGAACCGUGCGAACGUUAUUCGGAAUCACUGGGCUUAAAGCGCGUGUAGGCGGAUGGGAACGUCGGUAGUUGAAAGCCCCCGGCUCAACCGGGGAAGUGGUGCCGAAACGACCCGUCUGGAGGGACGUAGGGGGACCUGGAACUUCCGGUGGAGCGGUGAAAUGCGUAGAUAUCUGGAGGAACACCGGUGGCGAAGGCGGCAUCCUGGACCGAGAUUGACGCUGAUGCGCGAAAGCCAGGGGAGCAAACGGG
rnacentral:rRNA from 1 species